UACAGAGGCCUCAAGCAUUGUUCGGAUUCAUUGGGCGUAAAGGGAGCGUAGGCGGUCGGGUAAGUCGGACGUGAAAUCCUGGGGCUCAACCUCAGAACUGCAUUCGAUACUGCUCGGCUAGAGGAUUGGAGAGGAGAGUGGAAUUCACGGUGUAGCAGUGAAAUGCGUAGAGAUCGUGAGGAAGACCAACGGCGAAGGCAGCUCUCUGGACAAUUCCUGACGCUGAUGCUCGAAGGCUAGGGGAGCAAACGGG
rnacentral:rRNA from 1 species